rnacentral:rRNA from 1 species
UAGGGAAUCUUCCGCAAUGGGCGAAAGCCUGACGGAGCAACGCCGCGUGAGUGAUGAAGGUCUUCGGAUCGUAAAACUCUGUUAUUAGGGAAGAACAAAUGUGUAAGUAACUAUGCACGUCUUGACGGUACCUAAUCAGAAAGCCACGGCUAACUACGUGCCAGCAGCCGCGGUAAUACGUAGGUGGCAAGCGUUAUCCGGAAUUAUUGGGCGUAAAGCGCGCGUAGGCGGUUUUUUAAGUCUGAUGUGAAAGCCCACGGCUCAACCGGGGAGGGUCAUUGGAAACUGGAAAACUUGAGUGCAGAAGAGGAAAGUGGAAUUCCAUGUGUAGCGGUGAAAUGCGCAGAGAUAUGGAGGAACACCAGUGGCGAAGGCGACUUUCUGGUCUGUAACUGACGCUGAUGUGCGAAAGCGUGGGGAUCAAACA